rnacentral:rRNA from 1 species
CCUACGGGGGGCUGCAGUGGGGAAUAUUGGACAAUGGGGGGAACCCUGAUCCAGCCAUGCCGCGUGUGUGAAGAAGGCCCUCGGGUUGUAAAGCACUUUCAGUGAGGAAGAACGCCUGGUGGUUAAUACCCAUCAGGAAAGACAUCACUCACAGAAGAAGCACCGGCUAACUCCGUGCCAGCAGCCGCGGUAAUACGGAGGGUGCGAGCGUUAAUCGGAAUUACUGGGCGUAAAGCGCGCGUAGGUGGCUUGAUAAGCCGGUUGUGAAAGCCCCGGGCUCAACCUGGGAACGGCAUCCGGAACUGUCAAGCUAGAGGGCAGGAGAGGAAGGUAGAAUUCCAGGUGUAGCGGUGAAAUGCGUAGAGAUCGGGAGGAAUACCAGUGGCGAAGGCGGCCUUCUGGACUGACACUGACACUGAGGUGCGAAAGCGUGGGUAGCAAACCGGAUUAGAUACCCGAGUAGUC